UACGUAGGGAGCUAGCGUUGUCCGGAAUCAUUGGGCGUAAAGCGCGCGUAGGCGGCCCGGUAAGUCCGCUGUGAAAGUCAAAGGCUCAACCUUUGAAUGUCAGCGGAUACUGCCGGGCUAGAGUCCGGAAGAGGCGAGUGGAACUCCUGGUGUAGCGGUGGAAUGCGCAGAUAUCAGGAAGAACACCAACGGCGAAGGCGGCUCUCUGGGACGGUACUGACGCUGAGGUGCGAAAGCGUGGGGAGCAAACAGG
rnacentral:rRNA from 1 species